UGGGGAAUCUUGCACAAUGGGGGCAACCCUGAUGCAGCGACGCCGCGUGAGCGAUGAAGCCCUUCGGGGCGUAAAGCUCUUUCGACCGGAACGAUAAUGACGGUACCGGGAGAAGAAGCUGCGGCUAACUACGUGCCAGCAGCCGCGGUAAUACGUAGGCAGCAAGCGUUGUUCGGAGUUACUGGGCGUAAAGAGUGCGUAGGCGGUUUUCUAAGUUCGGUGUGAAAUCUCCCGGCUUAACUGGGAGGGUGCGCCGAAGACUGGGAAGCUGGAGUGUGGGAAAGGCAGGCGGAAUUCCUGGUGUAGCGGUGAAAUGCGUAGAUAUCAGGAGGAACACCUGUGGUGCAGACGGCUCUCUGGACCGCUACUGACACUGAGGCACGAAAGCGUGGGGAGCAAACA
rnacentral:rRNA from 1 species